rnacentral:rRNA from 1 species
GACGAACCGUGCGAACGUUGUUCGGAAUCACUGGGCUUAAAGGGCGCGAAGGCGGGCCUUCAAGUCCGGGGUGAAAGCCUCCAGCCUAACUGGAGAAGAGCCUCGGAGACUGAGGGCCUCGAGGGAGGUAGGGGCAAGCGGAACUAUGGGUGGAGCGGUGAAAUGCAUUGAUAUCCAUAGGAACUCCGGUGGCGAAGGCGGCUUGCUGGACCUCUUCUGACGCUGAGGCGCGAAAGCCAGGGGAGCAAACGGG